GCUUGCCUAGAUGAGUGCACCUGGGAAAGGGGAGGAUCCUUUAGUCAUCGCUGUGUCCCCCCAAAGAAUUGAGUUUCGGUUUACAGCCACAUCCUACUGUGAAGUCUUUGUCAUCCCUUCUCAGCCACUUCCUUCCUUUGGUUCUUAGGGACACGGCAGGUUCUGUGACCUCAGGAAGGCCCUGGCCAGCGCUAGUGAAGCAGCAGGCAAGAAAUAUUUACUGUCUGGCCAAACCCUGCUUGAAAGGAUCAGUUCCACUUCUUCGUCUGCAUCCGAGUCUUCAUCCUCGCCAUCUUCUCCCUCCUCCAGGAGGUUUGCCAGCUCCUCAUCAGAGGGAGAGAAGUCAUUGUCUCCAUCCUCGCCUGCAUUCUCGUUGUUGUCA